CGCAUGGCGUAUGUUCUGUAGUCCAGAUAGGGGAUUCCAGCCCUGUCCAGGUCACUGGUCAGCUCAUUGAUGUCUGUCUGCAGCUCGGCAAAGGCUGGGAUGAAAGAGAACACAGAUGAGAGUCCACACGGUUAUACAAAAUGCAAGACUGCAAAGUCUUAUAUCGACGUGAGCUCCGUAUGUAUGUAGGUAUGUGAAUCUAUCUCCAUGAUCUUCAGCACCGAAGUGAUGAAGUCAGCAGCUGAAGUUAAAUAUAUAGUCCUCAUGUCAGAGGAACUCCAUAUUUCACCGCUGCAGCCAGAUAUAAAAAAUACACCGUCUUUGUCGCCCUUGUCACUCAUUUUUAUCUUCCAUGCAGUAAAUUAGUUGUAGCUUUGGCCACAAAGAGAAGGACAGUGUGUGUGUGUGUGUGUGUACAGUGUGUGUGUAUCUUCCCAGUGUGAGGCUGCAGGUGAGCACUAGGUAAUUGGCUCCUGACUGACUGACUCCUGCUCAGGCACAUGGCUCAGCUGCUCUGCUCCGCUGCCUUCAGGGACCUUCCCAACCUGCAGCCAAUUGCAGCAGCAGCAGCAGCAGCCUCCUAACACCCUCUCAAAACUCAACCUUCUCCCACCAGUCUCUGCCCACGGCCCCUGUAUGACCAACUGGGCUUACAGGCACACAAGGGGUGUACACAUGCUCACCAGGAGGGAUCCAGGUACCGUCUAAAUCCCCCCGGAGGGCAGCACACUCCUGGUGUCUGUUAAUGGCCUCCAUGUCUUGCGUCUGACCGUUGUGAAAGACGGCUGCAGUCAGUUGUUUUCACUGCAUGACAACACCAGAUGGGCCACUCAGGAGUAGCUGGAGGGUAAAAAUAAUAAGAUCCACUCCGGAUGAUGAAAAUCCCCUGAAUGUUGUUAAACCUACUCCUCAGUGUGCUGCUCAGCGAUUGGCUAUAACGACCUUCGGGACGACACCAGAGGGCGAUCAAAAUAUUUAAAGGUAGUACGGCAUGAGUAUGAAGAUUCUACAGCACAGUCAGAGCCUGUGAACCGAAGAGGUCGGUCUGAGGUAGCAGUAUCUGUGGUCCAUUUUAUUCUAAAUUAAACUCAUGAUUUUCCUUGAUUAUUUUUUAUUUUUCAUUUCAGAGGAACCUGUUGCUGUAUAGUUAUCUACUUACAGUUCACACAAGGGAUGCAUUGUGUGUUGUAUGUUGUUAGACUACAGAGAGUGUUGCAUUCAUGGUCUGACCUACUAUAGACAUUUGUCUUCACUGGCCGAUCAUGUAAUUCUCUCAGUUUCUCUCUACUUUCCUCAAAUGACCACAGACCGGGCCACUCUGAGGCUUUUUCUGGACCUCAUGUGACCCUUGAGCCACCACUUGAAUAGCUUGUUUUUAAAAUAACUGUACAGUUUGUCACACCACCUUCGAGGUAAAAAAAGACAACUGAGAAAAACAUUAAAGUGUAAUUGAUUUGACAUUUGGGGCGUAAAUAAAAUGUACUUCAUACUAAACGCUUGUCAACAACAGGAUGUAGUAUUUAUGCCUCAGUCUAAAUACUACAGCUACAUCACAAUGGAAGCGGUGAGAGCAGCCGAG